rnacentral:rRNA from 1 species
UACAGAGGUGGCAAGCGUUGUUCGGAAUUACUGGGCGUAAAGGGCGCGUAGGCGGCUUGGUCAGUCCGGUGUGAAAUCCCUCGGCUCAACCGAGGAACUGCACGGGAAACUGCCUGGCUUGAGUUCGGGAGAGGGAAGCGGAAUUCCGGGUGUAGCGGUGAAAUGCGUAGAUAUCCGGAGGAACACCGGUGGCGAAGGCGGCUUCCUGGACCGACACUGACGCUGAGGCGCGAAAGCUAGGGGAGCAAACGGG